rnacentral:rRNA from 1 species
AGCUCCAAUAGCGUAUAUUAAAGUUGUUGCAGUUAAAAAGCUCGUAGUUGAAUUUCUGGCUGGAAGGGAGCGGUUCCACAUCUUUGUGGAUACUUGCUCGUCUUCUGCCAUCCGUGGGACUAGUGUCGCCGGUAUUAACUUACCGGCGUCUACGAUGCCCACCGUUUACUGUGAGCAAAUUAGAGUGUUCAAAGCAGGCUUAUGCCGUUGAAUAUAUUAGCAUGGAAUAAUAAGAUAGGACCUAGUCACUAUUUUGUUGGUUUGCGUGAUUAGAUAAUGAUUAAGAGGGACAGUUGUGGGUACUCGUAUUCAAGUGUCAGAGGUGAAAUUCUUAUAUUUCUUGAAGACGAACGACUGCGAAAGCAUUUACCAAGGAUGUUUUCA